ACUGGCACUGCUGUGUAUUUUUAAAAUAUCUUGUGAUGCUGGUGUAUAAUAAGGACAGGGCCAAAAACCCUGUAGCAUGGCGCGGCUGACCUCAACCAAAGGCUCCAGUCUCUGGGAGGUGUAGGGCCAGAUCCAGCUCGACCUCACCAUGAGAGCCAAGUGGAGAAAAAAGCGAAUGCGUCGUCUUAAGCGUAAGAGGAGAAGAAUGAGGCAAAGGUCUAAGUAAUUAAUUCACACAGCAGCAGCGACGAAUAGGAAUAGCAGACCCCCCUUAAUGAGUCGCAACAUCAUCAAAUGUCAUGUCGUUAGGGAUAAGAUAAGAACUUCUAGAAUCAUCUCUCCUCAUCUACUAAUCCAAGAUCUUAAACUUAAGUCUUCCAUCUGAUAGUCAUCUUUGCCAUCAGAUACCUACAGCACCAAUUUAAAGAUUUUAAGACGGACAUCAAGUUCAUUCGACUAAGUUAAUAUUGAUAAGCCCCUAACAAUAAGACAGAUCAGCAAAUUUCGGUUUCUUGGUAGCUGAGCACAACCUAGGUAACUAAGCUAACUAAUAAAUUGUCUCCUCUGCAAACAAAA